CAGAAAGCCACGGCUAACUACGUGCCAGCAGCCGCGGUAAUACGUAGGUGGCAAGCGUUAUCCCGGAUUUAUUGGGCGUAAAGCGAUCGCAGGCGGUUUUUUAAGUCUGAUGUGAAAGCCCUCGGGCUCAACCCGGGGAGGGUCAUCGGAAACUUGGGGAACUUUGAGUGCAGAAGAGGACAGUGGAACUCCACGUGUAGCGGUGAAAAUGCGUAGAUAUGUGGAAGAACACCAGUGGCGAAGGCGACUUCUCUGGUCUGUAAACUGACGCUGAGGAUCGAAAGCAUGGGUAGCGAACAGGAUUAGAUACCCUGGUAGUCCACGCCGUAAACGAUGAGUGCUAAGUGUUAGAGGGUUUCCGCCCCUCAGUGCUGCAGCUAACGCAUUAAGCACUCCGCCUGGGGAGUACGGUCGCAAGACUGAAACUCAAAGGAAUUGACGGGGGCCCGCACAAGCGGUGGAGCAUGUGGUUUAAUUCGAAGCAACGCGAAGAACCUUACCAGGUCUUGACAUCGUUUGACCAUCUGAGAGAUCGGAUGUCCCCUUCGGGGGCAGAGUGACAGGUGGUGCAUGGUUGUCGUCAGCUCGUGUCGUGAGAUGUUGGG
rnacentral:rRNA from 2 species